rnacentral:tRNA from 1 species
GGGCCGGUAGCUCAGCCUGGAAGAGCGCCCGCUUGGCAUGCGGGAGGUCGCGGGUUCGAAUCCCGCCCGGUCCA